AUAUAUGAAGUAAAAUUUACAUUUAAUUUCGACUUAAAAUUUAACUUUAAUUAGUUCAUAUAUU
rnacentral:tRNA from 1 species